rnacentral:rRNA from 1 species
GACGAACGCUGGCGGCGUGCCUAAUACAUGCAAGUAGAACGCUGAAGGAGGAGCUUGCUUCUCUGGAUGAGUUGCGAACGGGUGAGUAACGCGUAGGUAACCUGCCUGGUAGCGGGGGAUAACUAUUGGAAACGAUAGCUAAUACCGCAUAACAGUAGAUAUCGCAUGAUAUCUACUUGAAAGGUGCAAUUGCAUCACUACCAGAUGGACCUGCGUUGUAUUAGCUAGUUGGUGAGGUAACGGCUCACCAAGGCGACGAUACAUAGCCGACCUGAGAGGGUGAGCGGCCACACUGGGACUGAGACACGGCCCAGACUCCUACGGGAGGCAGCAGUAGGGAAUCUUCGGCAAUGGACGGAAGUCUGACCGAGCAACGCCGCGUGAGUGAAGAAGGUUUUCGGAUCGUAAAGCUCUGUUGUAAGAGAAGAACGAGUGUGAGAGUGGAAAGUUCACACUGUGACGGUAGCUUACCAGAAAGGGACGGCUAACUACGUG